rnacentral:lncRNA from 1 species
UGAGGGCGAAUGAUCUUGUCCUUCAUUAUUAAAAGCCUUCUUUAUUUGAUUCGCAUCAUACUCCCCGAGUUGGAGAGAAUUCGCCCACGAAUUCUGAAUCCCUGCAUAUAACAAAGUCAGUUUACUUUUACAAUCAAAAGUGUAAGAAAAAGGAAUACAUGACUUAGCGGAUGGAACCAAAGGGAUUUCAGAAAAGGAGGUCCUAUAAAUCGACCAAGUUGGAAAAAUUUGUUUGGGAAUGAUGAUGUUUUUUGGAAAAAGACCUCUUAAAUGGUGAAACCCAUUAGGAGGUAUGAAAAAAUCAUCCCUAACAUAUUUUAACCAAGUUGGUG